AUUGAACGCUGGCGGCAGGCUUAGCUCAUGCAAGUCGAGCGGAGUGAUGGUGCUUGCACUAUCACUUAGCGGCGGACGGGUGAGUAAUGCUUAGGAAUCUGCCUAUUAGUGGGGGACAACAUCUCGAAAGGGAUGCUAAUACCGCAUACGUCCUACGGGAGAAAGCAGGGGAUCACUUGUGACCUUGCGCUAAUAGAUGAGCCUAAGUCGGAUUAGCUAGUUGGUGGGGUAAAGGCCUACCAAGGCGACGAUCUGUAGCGGGUCUGAGAGGAUGAUCCGCCACACUGGGACUGAGACACGGCCCAGACUCCUACGGGAGGCAGCAGUGGGGAAUAUUGGACAAUGGGGGGAACCCUGAUCCAGCCAUGCCGCGUGUGUGAAGAAGGCCUUAUGGUUGUAAAGCACUUUAAGCGAGGAGGAGGCUCUUUUGGUUAAUACCCAGAUGAGUGGACGUUACUCGCAGAAUAAGCACCGGCUAACUCUGUACCAGCCGCCGCGGUAA
rnacentral:rRNA from 1 species